rnacentral:rRNA from 1 species
CAGCAGCAGCCGCGGUAAUACAGAGGGUGCGAGCGUUAAUCGGAUUUACUGGGCGUAAAGCGUGCGUAGGCGGCUUCUUAAGUCGGAUGUGAAAUCCCUGAGCUUAACUUAGGAAUUGCAUUCGAUACUGGGAAGCUAGAGUAUGGGAGAGGAUGGUAGAAUUCCAGGUGUAGCGGUGAAAUGCGUAGAGAUCUGGAGGAAUACCGAUGGCGAAGGCAGCCAUCUGGCCUAAUACUGACGCUGAGGUACGAAAGCAUGGGGAGCAAACAGGAUUAGAUACCCGGGUAGUCCCUGUCUCUUAUAA